rnacentral:lncRNA from 10 species
GACACACAUGCAUCUAGAGUAAACUGGGGCGUAUCUGACAGCGUUAGUACAGUGAUGGCCAAAUGCAAACUGCAUUCCAGAACCAGCGAAGGGUGACAGACUGGGCUGAGGCAGAGCUAGGACUAACCAUCUCGAGUGAUGCCAUCUCGGGGCCAACAAAAGUUUUGGACACGGCUGGAUCAUCUGACCAAACUGCUCAAAUCUUUACACAAUUAUUGUCCUGGUAUUAAACUUUCACCUGCCACUUCCAACAAACAGGAGACAGAAUAAGGAGAUGACCAGGAAGAUGGCUGGAUUAAGAAUUCUAGACUUGGCCGGGUGCGGUGGCUCACACCUGUAAUCCUAGCAUCUUGGGAGGCUGAGGCAGGAGGAUCGCUUGAGCCCAGGAGUUUGAGACCAGCCUAGGCAACAUAAGGAGACCCCAUCUCUACAAAAUAUCAAAAAAUUACCCAGAAGACUCACUCCAUAGUUCAUGGCCCCGUGAUCCAGAGUCCCUGCUGGCGCCUUCGAGUGGGGCAGGCUGAGAACUCAAGCUGUAACUAAUGUCUCCUCCGAAGAAAACUAAACCGAGGGCUGAGCUGAUGUGAAGUUUUCCGUGGCUGCAUUCAUACAAAUGGUGAAAAUGUAGCAUACCUCCCCUCAAAAGCCUGAAAGUAAAGACAUGCCCCCAAUUUAAUGUGAUGAAUUAGAGAAAUAGGUUUCAGACACUUCAUGGUUUAAAGUCUCACAAAAUAAAGCUUUCGAAGGA